rnacentral:rRNA from 1 species
AUGUAUACUCACGCUGGACCAUUAAAAAAUAUUAGAUUUCCCUACAUUUCUGUCAUCGAGCAUCAGAACUACUAUUUCAAAUUCAUUGGCAUUUGGUGCUAUGUUCUGCACCAUAUCAUAACUAUUUCCCUAUGUUCUGCAUUUGAAAACUAUAUAAAGCCAAAUAACUAUGAACACACCCUUGGAAUAAAUGUGAAAGGAGAAUUUGCGGUCUUACUGGAAAAAAAUGAAACAUUAGCUAGGAUUUGUUGGUUAGAUUCAUGUUGCUCCAUCCAUUUACUAUCAGUUCCUUCCAUAUAUUGCUUCCAUCAGAACAUGUUGACCUGA